rnacentral:misc_RNA from 1 species
GAGAUAUGGGUUGAAAUGUGUAAUUCUAUAAGUGUUAUUUAAACCAUUUUACAGGUUGGAUAAGUCCUAAGUGCGGGGAAAACUCUGUCGAAAUUCCGGCAAGAUAUUAGGAACUAUUUUGAUUUUAUGGUUUAAAUCAAUUAUUUAAUUUUGUCAGUCUUUUGAUAAAAUCAGUGUGUAUAUUUAGGUGAUUGGUAUCAACCGUUUUCUCUUUUCAGCUGAACAAGCUGCAAUCUAGUCGACUAAUCCAUGAGUAGAUAUUGAUCUUAUUUAUAAUUUCAAUAUUAAUAUAUUUCAGGCAUGCUCAUGCAUCACUU